rnacentral:rRNA from 1 species
AUGCAAGCACAUCUGAUGCAGGGAAGAGGAAGGAGGAUGUGCGUGGACCUUUCUCUUCCUAUUGGUGCUAUGAGAUUUGUGAUAGAUGCCUGGAUGGCGGGUGGAUUCAGGGUUGGAUUUUCACUUUACGGGAAUACAGAAAUUCUUAGAUGUGGAUGCGUAUGCCACAAGCUGUGCCAACUUCAAAGGUCAAAACCCCCUGUCUGGGGCGAUUCAGGAGAGGCAUUGCUGAUUGAGAGGGGAAAGGGGGAGGAGAUGAUGACCAAAUGGCAUGGAACAACAAUGCUUAAAGCGUACUGGAGGCUGAGUAUGUUGUCUGUGCAAUGGUAUGAGCUUGGUAAAGGAAGCUCAUAG